UCCGCGGGCCGGGCGACGUGGUUGGGGGGGGGGUUCCGGCUUGCUCGGGGGUCCCCCGGCCGUCCGCUCGGAAGGGCCGCCCUGCGCGCUCGGGGACGGACGGGGAGAGGGCCUCCUCGCGCGACCCUCUCUCCCUGGCUUUUCCGGCAGGACCGACAAUCUUGUGCUUGUGCCCACAAACGCUUUAGAAAAUCGACUCUCUUAAUCUUUCCAAAGAUGUUACCCCAGCUGCAAAGUCGUGGCACUCUGAAAACCUUUUAAGUCAGUAUACCAAAGGGCUUUAGUCGGGAUUAAAAGCAAAAUGCCAAAAUUUGGCUUUUAAAACGCCACGUCUAAAUGCAACCUAAGCACAAUCGUAGAUCGAUGCAAAACAGGCCCUCGCGAGAGCCCCCCUCCCCUGCGCGCAGCGCUGUUUGCCCUGAGCCCCAGCACCCCCAAAUCCUGGGAACUUCUUUUCUGGCGGGCAGCGGCGUGGAAGCUUGAGCUCACAGAAGGGAUUUUCAGUCGGCCAAGGAUUUAAGUCAGUGCGUGUCCUGGAAAAACCGACUCACUCCCAGCUCGAGGUGGCCCGGAGAGGUGGGCCUGGGACUCACGACUCCUGGGCGCCCUGGCCGGCGACCCGUCCUCUCUCUGUGGCCCUUUUGGAGGCCUCUGCCCCAGCCAGCGCCCAGCACAGCGUAGGUGCUCAGGAACGACGCCGCAGAGAGCCACUGCAGCGCACUUGGCUUUCUAGAAGCAAUAAAUGAAAGUCUCUAUAUUAAAAAAAAAAAAAAAAAAAAAAAAAAAAAUUAAUGAAGUCACGAUGGAGAGGCAGAGAACACAGCAGAAUCCACCGACUCACGACAACGUGUGCAGAAGCGAUUUGCCCCCGAAACUCUAAACAUGAAAUGCUUUAGUACCUCCCUGCUGCCCUGCGGUAGCUAGCGAAUAAAUAUUUCCACAUGGAAGAAAAUGGCCCUUUGAAAUGUAGCCUGUUCUAUUCAAGAGAGAAAUACAGCAAGGUACCACGAGGCUUCAGUGGCAAGAUGCAUUACUAUUUUUUUCCCAGUUUGAAAAUUGUGUGCCUUUCCAUUAGGACUCCCAGAUGGUAAACACGGAUUCCCUCGUGAAUUGAAUCCGUGCAACCACCCCCUUUGCUGGUUGGGGGAACAAUAGACUAACCUCUGGCUGGCAAAUUACGCCUUCGUUGAAUGCUUUGAUUAUCUGUUAAGUUAGAAACAAUCCUAUCAAAAGUCGGGACCCUGCCUCUUAUUUAAUCUGCGUGUGUAACUCUUCUUCUCCCAUCUCUGAGUUUGUUCUCCAAAGAUUAAAUAAAAAGCAACCAUUCUUGACCUGUGUCUCCUGUGCUCUGAAUUUGAAACAAGCCCAUGAUCGGGUCUAAAGUCAAAUCAGUGCUUGGGAGAAUGUCUGUCGCGUGGUAUCACAGUUCUUUAUUCAUACAGACGGCUCAGCUCAUUUUUUUAAAAUAAAAAUAUUCUGACUAAGGCUAGGAACGUAUGGCUGAAUUCUGCCGCUUGCUCAGAUUGGAGGGGUUUGCAGGGAGUUUUGAGGCACUGGAAACUUCUCUGCUCUAAGUUUUCCGAAGGACACUGUCAGCAAAAUGUCAAAUCACUGAAAGGAAAGCGAGUUAUGCAGGUACAAACGAGUCGUGUUUAAUUCAAGUGACAUUCAUUCACUCAUUUGUUCUAUAAAUAUUUAUUGAAAGCCUAUUUUGUGUAAGAGGCUGCCACCCCCCCGAAUGGUCAAGGCUGCUUGGGUGAAUCAGUCCCGCAUGGCUAACUUGCUCCUGGGCCCUGUGUGUUCAGUGUGGAUGCCUCCAGUUCAUACAAGAUGGUGGUGUUACUUGACAUGCGAGGGCCCAGAGCUCUGGGGUGCUUUGUUGUUGUUGUUUUUAAAUCAGACUCUCAACUGCUUGUUUAAUCUAAAUUUUAACACUAACCUAGAGUGGUCUAAAAUGUGUUCUCGGCAUUUAACAGAUGCGGAACAAUAGUAUCUUAGUUGCAGGGAAAGAAUAAAAAAUCUGGGUGUCCCCUUUCGAUUCAGAACUUGUGGGUCUGCGGUAAUCAACGUCCCUGGCUCAUUAAUGAAGAAGGUUCUCUCCCCUCCUCCCUCAGUGCCCUCAUUCCUAUAAUGUAAACAGCUACUAAGAGCUAGUAUUCCUCUUUGUUCAAACAGACAAUGGCCUUUAUAACUAAGAAGAAAAUUAGUAUCAGGUGAAAGCCUCAUUUUAGGGUGCUUAAAGCUUUUUCUUUUUUCCAGAAGAACAAAGUACAACAGUAAUCUCAAGAAGAAUUCACAACGUUUCGAAAGCAACAGGACAAAGUUACCGUCCUGAAAGUCCUCCGAACAAGACAGACGAGCUGAUCCUUCGCUGCCCGGCGUUGCCAGAAUCCGAACAGGAACAGCGUUAUCCUUAAGCACGUUACAUUUCCUUCUGGCUUGUGGUGCUGGGAAUACCGAAGGAAGAGACGCAGUCCCUUCCCUUAAGGAAACUCAAGAAGUCAAACACGAGACUCCAUCCGGCUCCUAGAUAAAUGCCUGAGGGAACUGAACGCACGUCCCGGCAAAGGCUGGUGGCCUUCUUCACGGCAGCCCCAGUCGGAAGCGCCCAAAUGUCCACCGCCUGUAGACUACAUGACUAAAAUGUGGUAUAUCCACACACUGGAAUAUUACCCGCCCAUUGAAGGAAUCAGGUACCCAUCUGUCCCCAAAGAACAGUAAGUACAGCGUCUGUCACCGAAGGACAAGGCUCCAAGGCCCCGGGCAGAAUUUCCUCUCUCCCCCGCCUUUCUCAGGCUCACCCGCGUCAUUGAAGAUAACUGUCCUCACCCCAGCCAGCAGGGGCUGCCCUCACCUCCUUGGGGUCUCUCCCCAGGAGCACCUGUCCGGGCUUGAGUAACUGGGGACUAUAGCCUGGCCCGUGGUGCAUCCGAAAGCCAUCCAGAGCCCCUCGUGUUUUCUUCUUUUAUUGUAGUUGUGCUUCCCACUCCUGAAACUCUGAUGGAUGCUCGCGGAUGCUCCCGGUUGGGGGAUUUAGUAUGGAGCCAAGUCGGUGGUUCCUCUGAUCUGGAGACAGAAGUUCCGGCUGGCUGCUUCCCAUUUCUUGUGAGACUGAAACAAACAGGAGAAUGAAAGAAAUCGUUGUUGGCACUUGACAAGAGACAGGAGGUCGUGAGGACAGAAGAGACGUGGAGGGGAUCUAGGGGAGGCAGCCUGAGAGGCGUCCCAUUACGCCAACCAGUCUGCGGGUAAAAUUUGCUCACGGGUUAACAUGCCCCUUGUGAUGGUUAAUUUUGUGUGUCAACUUGACUGGGCCAUGGAGCCCAGACAUGUAAGCAGCCAUUAUUCUGGAUGUUUCCGAGAGGGUGUUUUGGGAUGAGGUUAAUCCUUAAAUCCAUGGGCUUUGAGAUUACUUUCAUAGUGUGGGUAGGUGGGCCUCAUCCAAUCAGUUGAUGGACACCUGACUGCCUCCAAAGAAGGAAUUUUGCAGCAGAACAGCUUUUGGACUUGAGCCAAAACAUCAGCUGUCCCCUGGGACUCCACCCUGGUGGUCCACUCUAGAUUGUGGACUUGCCAGCCUCCACAAUUACGGGAGCCAAUUCCUUACAAUAAAUCUCUUUCUAUAUAUA